rnacentral:rRNA from 1 species
UACGGAGAGGGCUAGCGUUAUUCGGAAUCAUUGGGCGUAAAGGGCGCGUAGGCGGGUUAGUAAGUUAAAAAGUGAAAUCCCAAGGCUCAACCUUGGAACUGCUUUUAAAACUGCUAGUCUAGAGAUUGAAAGAGGAUAGAGGAAUUCCUAGUGUAGAGGUGAAAUUCGUAAAUAUUAGGAGGAACACCAGUGGCGAAGGCGUCUAUCUGGUUCAAAUCUGACGCGUGAGGCGGCGAAAGGCGUGGGGAGCAAACAGG